rnacentral:rRNA from 1 species
CUAUCUGCAGUGGACGCAUUGAUAUCACCGGAGCUUGCUCCACUGAUAUUAAUGAGUCGCGAACGGGUGAGUAACGCGUAGGUAACCUGCCUGAUAGCGGGGGAUAACUAUUGGAAACGAUAGCUAAUACCGCAUGAGAGUGUUUAACACAUGUUAGAGACUUAAAAGAUACCAUUGUAUCACUAUCAGAUGGACCUGCGUUGUAUUAGCUAGUUGGUAGGGUAGCGGCCUACCAAGGCACCGAUACAUAGCCGACCUGAGAGGGUGAUCGGCCACACUGGGACUGAGACACGGCCCAGACUCCUACGGGAGGCAGCAGUAGGGAAUCUUCGGCAAUGGACGAAAGUCUGACCGAGCAACGCCGCGUGAGUGAAGAAGGUUUUCGGAUCGUAAAGCUCUGUUGUAGCGGAAGAACGCGUGUAAGAGUGGAAAGUUUACACAGUGACGGUACGCUACCAGAAAGGGACGGCUAACUACGUGCCAGCAGCCGCGGUAAUACGUAGGUCCCGAGCGUUGUCCGGAUUUAUUGGGCGUAAAGGGAGCGCAGGCGGUUUAGUAAGUCUGAAGUUAAAGGCAUUGGCUCAANCCAAUGUAUGCUUUGGAAACUGUUAGACUUGAGUGCAGAAGGGGNAGAGUGGAAUUCCAUGUGUAGCGGUGAAAUGCGUAGAUAUAUGGAGGAACACCGGUGGCGAAAGCGGCUCUCUGGUCUGUUCACUGACGCUGAGGCUCGAAAGCGUGGGUAGCGAACAGGAUUA